UUUUUUUUUUUUUUUUUUGAGCAUUUUCCAAAACCAAAUAUUAUUGAUGAGAACUGGAAGUUAUGAGAGCUAGCUACCAGCACAACCACCUUGGUUAGAAACGUGUUCAGGCAACUUAUUGGUUAUGGUUUUUAGUGAAAGGAUUUAUUUACUUCUUUUGCUAGCUAGCUAGCUAGGGGAGCAGCUGGCUGAAGACUCAAUUGGAAACGUGUUGUGGAGGACCAAUUUUUAAUGAGGUAAAAGCAAAGGUUUCACAUGUUCGAAACUCUGAAUCGAGUAUUAACCUUGAUAUAUCUAUUCGAUUUUUUUGUAAUUUCAUUUGAUUGGUCUCAGAACGAUAUCAAAAUCAUAUGAAAAUCAAUAUUAACGGUAUCUUUAUUAAGUGCAUCCAGGUAGCAGACUUGGAUGCAUUGAUAAAUAUGUCGAAGUUACCUUCGGUGGUCAUGUCCUUGCUAGUCCUAAGAGAUGGGUCAAUUGCUUGCCUAGCUCUUGUUUUCUUGUUUUUUCAUAUAGAUAAUAUCAAAACAGAUUUUCCUUUCACUCCUAAAAAAAAGAUGUUGCUGAAACUGAAAACUGAUUCAAAUUAAGACAGUCGUUGGCAAUAUAUAGCAGCCCGCAGCAUAUAAUUAAUAUUGAAGUGUUGAGAGCCAAAGAAGAGGCUUCCUAAUCCCAACAGCAAAUUCCGCAACUGUUUCUUAAGGAAUCAAUGUAUCAAUUAUGUGGGUAUGAUUGCUUUCAAGCUAUCUGUUUCUUGAGAGAGGGAGAGAGAGAGUUGGUUAAUGCUGGUAUCUACCACAUGGAAGCUUUUGCAAUUGAAGAAUUUCAAUGUCCAUUUUCAUACGGUCAUUCAUCUAUAAAAUACUAAAAUACAUUAAAUAAUAAUUUUAGAUAACUAUUUUGGUCCAUAAUCUCCAUACGGGUAUAUACAUAGUGGCUUCCAUGCACCAAGAUACAUUUGAACCAUAACUGUGUAAGUAUGCACGUUUCCAUGUAUGCACUCCUUAGGUACGUAAGAGACAAUUCAAAANNNNNNNNNNNNNNNNNNNNNNNNNNNNNNNNNNNNNNNNNNNNNNNNNNNNNNNNNNNNNNNNNNNNNNNNNNNNNNNNNNNNNNNNNAAAAGGGUCAUGUACAUAUACUUAUUACGAUUUCUUAAACGGAAAAAAUUGUUAUCACCUUCUUGAAAAGAUUGAUGCGUCGGAGUAACAUCAAAAGAUAAAUUUGUACAUAACAAUGGAUAAAAUUAAAAUACAAUCAAAUAAGAGAAUAUAGUAUUAGAAAAAUUUGCCGACAAAGAAUAGAGUACUAUCAACAAAUUAAAAAGACAACUCUUAGAGCAUAAACACGAGGUUCGCUCUAUUCCUCUCCUACCAAAAACAACACAUAAAUAGCCAUUUGUCUAUGUAAGAGACUCAUCUUGUACUAAAUUGCAACAGUGCUAUACCAAUAGAAUCACAAUAGCAAUAGAAACGACAUAAUAUUCGUGAAAAUUUGUUAUUAACCUUUUUGUUACCAUGAAUGUUUAUCUACAGUCUGCCGCCAUAGCUAAAUCAAUCAUCAAAACCGUGUAAAAGCUUGACACGUGACAUUAAAGUAGAAAUACACUCAUACGUGCAUGCAUUAAUAACUAAGUUAAAAUUCAGUUUUUUUUAUUGAGGGAACAAAAAUAUAAAAAUAUAAAAGAUAGCUUUAAAUAUUUCUUCUUUUGGCCAAUGCUAUAAAUUCAAUUAAAUUUACCAAAACUCAAUCAUAUUCGUGCUUAAAUUGGUGGACCAUUUAGGGUUAGGGCGCCAGCAUAUUCACGAGGAGGGGAGUGGAAUGUGGCAAAAGUCGAAUUAUCCUUAUGAUAUAGCUAGCAAAUUGCUAUAUAUAUAUAUAUAUAUUUAGGUAUUCUUGACAAUAAUCAACUAUCUUCUUUCUCACUCUGGUACCAUUGGAAAUAAAUGAUCUUGUUUAAUAAUUAAUAAUGAACUUAGUAAGUGUUGCUGUUAAAGUUGGUCAGAAUUCGUUUAAAGGCAUAUGACAUAUAUCUUAUACUUGAUCAAAUACGAAACCCCAACUUAUAUGUAAACCAAAGCUUUAUUAAUGAGGGAGGAGGCCGGCGCCUAUAAACUAAAAAAGUUGGCUAAUUGAAUGUUAUUGCUGGUGUUGGCAUCGACUUCCAACUACUCGCAACAGCUGCCCUUUUGGGUUUUCGCCAAAAAAGUAUGUCUCUAGCUCACAAUUUAUCCCUGUGUAGUCUAAAAAUAAUGUUACAUACAUUUGUAUAUAUAUUCGUUAUCGGUUUUAAUCUAAAGAGAAUGAAAUUCACGAUCUAAUUUGUAAUCCUUAUUGCUCAUUUCCUUCCGUUGUUUGACAAUCUUAUCAAAAGACAAAACUUAAGAAAGUUACUAAAGAAAAUUUAGGUAACUAAAAAAGGAAAUGAAUAUCAAUGACAAACAACCCUCCUCUUGUUCUCAUGUUCUCUGGAAGGCUAAUUUUGUAGCCAGUACUUUGAUAUUGCUGGUCAUAAUAUAUGCGGUCUCUCAGGUAAAAAAGUUAAAAAUGGGAAGUGCGGUUUAUAAAAUGUGAAUGUGAGUCUCACUUCCCUUGAUCUAAUUUGUUCAUGUCAAAUUCUCACUUACUUUUGUUUUGAACUAAUGUGUGCCAAACAAUAUGAAUAAUGAAAGCUGCCGAAUCUCUACAAAGUAGCUCAAAAGUGCGUUUAUUUAAGAGGUAAUUAAACAAAACUAACAAAACAACUAAUAUAUUUCUUUGUUCACUAAAUGGCUCAAAACAUGGAUGAUUCAUGCUUUUGGGUGUAUAGGAGAUUUAGUUAGAACAUAUUAUAAAUCAUAUUAUAUCAAAAUUAGGUGAAUUAGGAUUGCGCCUAGAUUAACCAUAUAAGUCAAUAUGCUAGUUUUUUUCCCAACCAAACAAUAAUAUUUUAAAUGCAUUAGAAACUUACAACUAGGAACAACAUGCCCAUCUUUCCCCCUCCUUUUAAAACCCCCCAUCUCCUGCCCUCUUUUCAUAACAUAAAAGCCUUGCUUACUAUCCACAGCUCUCAUCCCCACACAAGUUCUGUGACAAAACAUUCAACCACACCUAUUUAUCUCUCUUCUCUCUCUUUCUCUGGUCUCUCCGGUGGCCAUGGGGGCGCGGUGUCGUUUCCAGCCAAUUUCGAGAUGCAGCACCGAGGGACGAUCAAACCAGACGGUGGCUGCAGACCUCGACGGCACUCUCCUCGUGUCCCGAAGCGCUUUCCCUUAUUUCAUGCUCGUUGCUCUUGAAGCCGGUAGUCUUCUGAGGGCACUAGUACUGCUAGUAUCCGUACCCUUCGUAUAUUUCAUCUACUUGUUCAUAUCGGAAUCCGUAGCGAUCAACACGUUCAUCUUCAUUUCCUUCGCCGGUCUGAAGCUCAGGGACAUUGAGAUGGUUGCGAGGUCCGUCUUGCCCAAGUUUUACGCAGAAGACGUUCACCCCCAGACUUGGAAAGUGUUCAACUCGUUCGGCAAGCGCUACAUCAUCACGGCGAAUCCCAGAGUUCUUGUCGAGCCUUUUGUCAAGAACUUUCUUGGUGCUGAUAAGGUUCUGGGGACAGAGUUGGAAGUGACCAAGUCCGGUAGGGCCACCGGGUUUGUUCAAAAACCAGGUGUUCUGGUCGGAGAACACAAAAGAGAAGCCAUUGUCAGAGAAUUUGGCGCUGACUUACCGGAUUUGGGUCUCGGAGAUAGAGAAACUGACCAUGAUUUCAUGUCCAUUUGCAAGGUAAGAUGCUAGUUUUCAUUCAUGAUUCCCCCACUGGUAAUUCUUACCUGAUUUGUUUGUCAUAAUAAUGAGCCGGCAUUUGGUAGAAACAUAUAUCCAUUUCUGAAUUUGGAAAAACAAAAACAAAUGAACACCGUCCGAACCUAGUAAUAAAAUCGGUAAAUAUAUAAAACUUUUAUAUUUUUAUUUUUGAUUAGUUCUUUCUUUCUGGAUAUUAAGCAUUCAAGUUCGAACACUGCUAGCUGUUUAUGUCCAAUUUGAAACAAAAGUAAAUGCCAUUCGUCUAGGUUUAUACGAGUUUGGUGAGCGCCUUAAUGCCAACAAUAUGGUCGGCUAUGUUACAUGUUAUAUCUUACCCUCUACUUGAUGCAUUUUGAAAUUUUACAAUGCCAUUCUACUCAACUUUCUUAUAUAUCACCUCCAAAGAUUUUGAGAUCUACAAGUUCUUGGUUAGUAGAGUACACAAAGAACAUUUAUGUCACAUUUGUGUGACAACUGGCACCCAUACGAUCUUCAUGUUCAACCCACUCCCUCUACUUAAUCAAUUUUCUCAUAUUUUUGUACAUUAGGGUAGAAAUAUCAAAUAUGAGAUAGUAAUUUACGCUUGAUAUACCAUUUCCUCAUUCACCUUUCAAGCUUGUGACUUGUACAAGCUUACCACAAUCUAGAUUGUUCUCCUAUUAUGCAUGUCUUCGUGGUCUGGUACAUAAGCUACUGAUAAGUGGAAAAAAAAAAAAAAAAAAACUACACACUUCUGUGUCAAACAAAAUUCUGUUAGGUAGCUUGAGUUUGGGAGCUUCUUUCUUUAUCAAAAUAGUAUUAUUAGGUUGAAACACAAUUGUGAUGCAUUUCUAUAUAAAGCAAGGGUUGAUAAGAAUAACCAAACGAUUGUUACAAUAUUGUUUCCCUUGUUUAACAUAAUGUAAGAGGUUUUGUUGGUCAAUAUAUUGUGAGAGUUUAUUGACAAAAUUCAACUAUUUUGACACAUUUGAUUUGUUUACUUUGCAGGAAGGGUACAUGGUUCCAAGGACAAAAUGUGAGCCCUUACCAAGAAACAAGCUCUUGAGCCCGGUUAUAUUUCAUGAAGGUCGUUUGGUACAAACACCUACUCCUUUGGUUGUCCUCUUGACCUUUCUAUGGAUGCCGAUAGGUAUAAUCCUAUCCAUUUUACGAGUCUACACCAACAUUGUAUUGCCUGAGAGAAUUGCUAGAUACAACUAUAAGCUUCUGGGGAUUAAACUAACCGUUAAGGGCAUUCCUCCGCCACCGCCUAAAAAGGGCCACCCUGGAGUUCUAUUUAUCUGCAACCACCGAACAGUUUUAGACCCUGUUGUCACAGCAGUGGCAUUAGGAAGAAAAAUUAGUUGUGUGACAUACAGCAUUAGCAAAUUUUCCGAACUGAUCUCUCCGAUCAAGGCGGUGGCGCUGACGAGGGAACGAGAGAAAGACGCAGCGAACAUUAAGGCUUUGCUUGAGGAAGGUGACCUGGUGAUUUGCCCAGAAGGGACUACUUGCAGAGAGCCAUUUUUGUUGAGGUUCAGUGCACUGUUUGCUGAGCUUACUGAUAGGAUUGUUCCGAUUGCCAUUAACACCAAGCAAAGUGUGUAUUACGGAACAACGGUUCGCGGACACAAAUGGUUGGAUCCUUAUUUUGUGUUCAUGAAUCCAAUGCCAACUUAUGAGAUCACGUUUUUGAAUCAACUACCGAUGGAACUCACUUGCAAAGGUGGGAAAUCUCCGUUUGAAGUGGCGAAUUACAUUCAGAGGGUGUUGGCCGGAACUUUAGGGUUUGAGUGCACAAACUUGACUAGGAAGGAUAAGUACUCAGCGAUUGCUGGAACAGAUGGUAGGGUUACUUCACCAAAGAAGGAAAAGGAACAGGAGAAAGCCUAGCUAGCAAAGGAGAGCUUUGAGUUUUACCCGAUGAUGAUACUGAUCAUCAAAAUUAAUCUGUCUAUUGUUUUCCAAUAUCUUCUAAACUUUUCUCAUAAUAAUGAAACUGAUCGAUUAUUACAAUUAUUAUAAAAGAAUAGUACUAAUGUACAUUAGCUUUCAUCAGUAUUGCCAUUUUGUCUGUUGCACCCAUCUAUUUCGGGCUUGCGGCCGACUUCACUUUCCAAUUGUAUUCAACAUGAAUGACAAAUAGACGAGACAUUUGUAUUUGUAAAUUACAUGAUAUAUACUGUUCAGUCAGUUUCGAACUAUAUCUCACAUUGUUGCCUGAGAUCUAGCUAUCUAUGUUAAAAUUCUAGAAUUCUAACUGUAUAAUUGUUUAAUAUAAUGCAGUCAUGCACCCUUGUGAAGCGUGAUUGUGAGAUUCUCCAAAUUAAUCCCAUUGGUUUUCUGUUCUUCUUGUGGUGGGUCGAUUGGGUGGCCAAGCCAGUGCCUAUGUUGGGUGACUGGUAUGAAUACGACAUUGAAGGGAUUAAUGUUGUCUCAUCAGUUAAGGUCCAAGCUCAAAAGAAAAAGACAAAUGAUUAUAACUACCUACCUAAGAUUAUUCCUGACAUCUUUCGGUAAAGAUCGAUAUCACAAAUCACGUACUCCGGCAAUAUUGUGUACAAUAAUUUGGGGAUUCUCUGUACAUGCAUACAUCUGUAAUCUUAUAUGAUUAGAUGGGGAUUCAGAAUUAGGGCUCGGCAUAGAGCCCGUUGAAGAAAGAAAAAAAACCGGCAAAUCGACCUGUUGAAGAAAGAAAAAAAAAAACCGGCAAAUCGACCCGAUAUGACGGUCAAGUUUUUUUUCGGGCUCGUUAUAGGAAAAGUGAAGUUUGGGCCGGUCCUACUACUAGUCGGGCCGAGCUCAGUCUUAAUAUUAUUUGUUUUUUACGGCCUGAAAGCCCGACAUAUAUUUCUUACUUUUCCAAAUAACCUCAUAUCCACUUUUUUUUUUCUUACUGAAGCACUCAGUUAAGUCAAUUUCCUUUCUAAUUCCCAAAGUUUCAAACCUAAACGCUCAGCCCUUGUCUUUCAUCGAAGAAAAAAAAGCACAGCCUCCGUCGUGCCCAAAAUCCCAAUUCAUCUUCAUCUUCUUCAAUCGCCCCAAACCCUCCGUUAUGCUCGAAAUCCCAACUCAUCUUCAUCUUCUUCAAUCUGAGAAAAAAACCUAAUUCUCAAUCCAACCCUAAACCCUCAAUCCAUGUUGACCCAAUUCGCAAUCGCCCUUCAUAAUCCUACCUAGAGUCCCAGAACCACAAAAUCCAACCUUUCCAUAGGCACAAUCAAGGUCCGCAUCAACACCAAAACCCUUGCCGCCGCCUACCCUAAUGCUAACCACCGUUCGAGACACAGUUUGACGCAAUCCCAUUGAUCAAAUCCUAAAAUUGGAAUUCGUCGACCAUUGUCAACCAUAAUCGAUAGGUGAGUCGUCUUCUUCAUAUCUUAUGGUAUCUUCUCUCUGAGUUUGAACUUUGAAUUGGGCUGAAACUGAAAUAGAAGAUUGAAAGAGUCGUUUUUGAUUGAUAGUGUCAUAGUGUGAGCUUCAGUUUUCAUAUCGCAUUAUGAAGGGCCGAAGGACCGGCCGAUUUUUGUUCUGUCUGGGAAAUUUUCAAAUGGAAGCUCGGCCCGGUUUCUGUACCGUUGGUCCGGUCCCAGUCCUGCCAAAUCUGUGGCCGGUCUCGGCCUGCGCCCAUCCCUAUUUAGAAUCAACUAAGCAGAAUUUGUAAUCUUGUGUAUGUAUAUCUCCUACUGUUUGUUUGGUCGUCCCAAAAAUCUCAUAUAUCAUUGAUUUUGAUUUUGGGUUUGUAAAACAAUGAUAAUGAACAUAGUCAUGAAUGACGCAUGCAAUACACCCCUGACAAUCACACACAAGACAAUUAGUUCAAUCCUAGAAUUUAAUUGGUUAAUCUUGAUGAAGAUGUCAAUAUGUCUAGAUAUAUAUGACAUAAUCAUCUCUACAAAGUUUCAGCUCAUUUGAUGAUCAUUAAAGUGUUGAAACUACAAUAAAUCAAUAAACGACCGAAAUAUGUCAAACUGAAACCGUUCGUAUAAAUCACAAUUAAGAAAACUCAAACGAUCAUCAAAUUGGAUAAAACUUUGUAGAGAUGAUAUUGUCAUAUAUAUCUAAAUAUUGACUGACUUUGAUAAAAAUGUUAGUGAAAAGCGAGCUACAAAAAAAACCUUCACACUUUUAAUUAGUUUCGUUCUGGAUAGAAAUUGAUAUAAACCAAAAGACCAAAUAUAUAGAUCUAUCAACUCAACCAACAGUUAGUUAUAUUGAUGGUACAUGAACAUGCCCUAAGUCCCCCAACCAAAGUCUAUACUGUUUGUUGGAGGGUCACCCAAUUAAUCUCGUUAGCUAGGCUGUGAAAUUAUGGGGAUUUUGGAUGUGGUCCUUGUCAUGAGUCAUAGCCAUAGAUGUGACAUGACCAUCGAUCAUGUAUAUAAGCUAGGGACCAAUAUAUAACUAUUAGGUUGAAAUACUGAUGUAUGACAGAAUGAGCAAAACUCUAUAUUUAACCAGUUAGAUCGAUUUUGUCCCUUGAACUUAAUUAUACGUUUGUAUUAUCUCUAUAUGCAAGGCUUCGGUAUUGACUGGUUGUAUGACAGCACAGCUUCUGUUAACUCCACAAUAGGAGUGCAUAUAUGAUUUGGUUCUGGACUGUUGCUGGGACCUUUCCACCACAUAUCACACUGCUAGUCUUAAAUUUCACAUGCAUAUACAUGUUCAAGGUUAGGCCAGCCUCUCUGUUUGGUCACAGCUUGAACACUCAUCGAUCUUCCGAAUAGAUCAGAUCGACACUGGGAUAGUCGAUCAUAGACCCGGCUUCCUUAAUUAGUUGAUCGAUCGACUUUGCUACUCCUAUUUAAUCCCAUGCUUUAGUGUCCUUGUGUUCAGUGUGCUGUAAUCUCAACUCAAAUGAACUGGUCGAUCGAUCAAGAAGUCUUACCUUUACACCCACACUUAGCCCCAUCUGUCUCGAGCUCUUUGAGGUGUUGAUGAGAAUGUUGAAUGAGAACGACUGAGCUCGAUCACUUGGCUUGUGAAGAAACAUACUAAUUAAACAAACAUGCAAGGUCGGCUAAGUUAGAUGCAUUUACAUUGUAGGAUAUAUACUACAAUAAACAGCUGCCAAUGAGGCAGUGACCGAUCAAGCUAGCUGCAUCGUAGUUUCUGAACUAUAACGUACAUAAUGGACCGAAUGGGGACCUCGAUCGAUCACCAGUCGUAUUUAAAGAGAAUGUACGUGAUAAAAUUUAUGAGCUAGGGGCCGGCAUUGCAUUCCAGACUACACAGUGUAGCUCAUCAUGACGAUCCAGGAGGAGCAGCUGCAGCAGAUCGAAGAAGAUGAACCAGUAGUGGCAGUGCGUGAGUUACGGGUCGAUAUCGAAUUAUCGAUCAUCAGUCGCCGGUAAAGUUUAUAUGUGCUAAGCAAUAAGCAUGUGUCGCUACCAGUCCCGACUUUGUUCUGAAUGGAACCCUUUAUAAAUCAUAAGCAAAUACGUACCGUGUUUGUUAGGGUUUCAGCUGGACGGACUUUUAGGUGGCGACUUAUGUUUGUGCAUUAUUUUUCACGUAACAGUUCUAUUGAGAUGGUCGAUUGAUGGCAUUCGUCAAAAACCUGCAAAGAAGUAACUAUGUAGGUCAUGAAGCUUAUCAAUGCCCAAUUAAUCUUUGACAUCCCGUACGUGUAUAUAUGAUGGAGCAUUUGAAUGGUCUCUCACGUACCUCUUUACAAUGCCAUAAAUAAUGGCCCCAAGUAGUCUCAGUUUUCUUAAUUGGCUUCUCCCAAAAGGGCAAUCGAUAUAUGACAGGAGUAACAAGACAAUGGAGGAUUGAAGAUUUACGGCACUCGUGGAACCAAGAAAUUAGAAGAAGCUUAAGCUCAGAAUCUUAUCGAGACCUUCUACCCUAAUAUGUACUAAAAUUAGACAACGAGAAAAUGUUUUACCACUUCAAAUUAGUUCGAACUAUAGUUUUGAUUGGCUUGUAUUAUUCGCGACUAAUGUUUACUUUUACAAUGAUUUAUAUUACUAGCUAGAUGUAUUAUCGUCAGAUGUUAAUUGGCUCGAUUCUCGAAUAUUCACAAACUUGAUUACGAAAAGGGGAUGAGUUUAGGAAUCUGCCAAUCAGAAUCGAUACCGAUUCAUUUUUUUUCUCAUUCUAAUUGUCUUUGAUUCAUGAUUAUUUUUCAUUUUAAAUAAGUAAACGUACUAAUAAAUUAGAUUUUUAUUGGGCUGUAUAGAAAUUAGAAAACAAGAAGCUAGGUUGGUCAAUGUGAGGUAUGAAUAGCUUAUUGGUGAGGAACCCGCUCCAAUGUGAGUGAGGUAUGAAUAGCUUUUUGGUGAGGAACCCACUUUGCCCGGGCGGUGCUAGGAGUUGGGCCUUAUACUUUUCUACACGGGCCUGAGAACCCAUACAACGACAAUAUUGUCGGUUUUGGGCUUAGACCAUUCUAUACAGUGGAUUCUUUUAGGUUGUUGGCCCAAAAAAGGCGCGCUUUGUGAUUGUCAUCUCUGGCUCUUAAAUGACCAAAAAGGGCUUUCUGCUGAUUUUGGUUUGCUCACAACUAGUCAACUACUGAACAGUAUUGUGAGAUAUUUUCAGGGUGAAACUCCGAGGGCAUUAUUGGAAAGACAACCAUAAAGCUUUCCUCAGUUAUCACACUGCUUACUAGUGCCGGUGAGUUGAAGACCGUUCCAACCAAAUCUUCAACUUUCACGGCCGCUAAUGGAAAACGGUAACCACCGCGCCGCCACCGGCCCUCGCACCGACGACCGUAUCAAGCUCAACGUCGGCGGCAAGCUCUUCGAAACGACCAUAUCCACAAUCCAAGCGGGCGGCCACGACUCUCUGUUAGCCGCCCUCUCGAGCCGGACCUCCGACGACCCGGACCCGGUUUUCAUAGACCGGGACCCGGAGAUCUUCUCCGUCAUACUCUCUCUCCUCCGCUCCGACGGUCUCCCUUCCACGGCUCGCCGAUUCUCCAAGCAAGAACUCACCGAUGAAGCUCUCUACUACGGCAUCGAGUCGCAGCUCAAGUCGGCGAUGCUGCCGCCUCCGCUGUCCGGAAUCGACGCCUCGAUUGUGACGACAGUUCAGCCCGCCUCCGACGGCCUCCCCUCGGCGAUCACAGCCGGCACCGACGGCUCCGUUUGGAUCGCGCACGGCGGUCAAAUCUCCAGCUACGAUUGGAAUCUGAGCCACGCCGGAACGAUCCGUACUCAUCUGGAAGACAUCAACUCGAUUUGCCGAGUGUAUCCCGAAAUCGCCGCCGUGGGAUCCGAAACCGAUCCUGGACUCCACUUCUACGACUUCUCCGGCGUGCGGAAUAUGGGGUCGAUCCACUGGACCGACCCGACCGACCCGAGAAUCUUCAAGGCCCGAGUCACGGCCGUUUCGGACUCGCCGAGCUCAGUCUUCGCCGGUUUCGACUGCCCGCACAGAGAGAACUGCAUCUUAGUGAUCGACAAAUCGACGCUCAAGAUCGUCGGCGAGCUGAGCAGGCAGUCCGGAAGCUCGGCGAAGAACUUGGCCGUCGGAAAGCUGACGUGGCUGCCUGAAACGGGCUUGAUCGUUGGCAGCUCCGUAACUAGCGGCGCGUUCGGGUAUUCGGGUUAUAUCCGGAUGUGGGACCCGAGGUUGAAUGAGGUGGUUUGGGAGACGAACGAGCCAGGCUCGGGGCGGAGCAGUAGGUUCGGGGACUCGUUUGCCGACGUGGAUGUCGACAUUGAGGAGUCGGCAUUGUUCAAGGUGUGUUCAAAGUCUGGAGAUUUGGCAAUGGCAGACUUGCGUAAUUUAGGGGAUGAUCCGUGGGUUUAUUUACAAGAUAAGAAUCCAAGCAUGAGGACUAAGGGGAGUGCGAAUUGUACUAGUGUGAUUCACUGUUACAAAAGCCAAGCCUUUGUGGGAAGAGAUGGUGAAUUGGAGGUUUGGUCUCGGCUUCCGAGAGCGGAAAACAGGGUGGAUAGAGAGAGUGAGGUGUGUGAGGGAUUGUAUAGGAGGAAUUUUGUGGAUAAAGAGGAGGAUGCUCAGAGAGGGAUUAUAAAGAAAAUCGAAGGCGGUGGGAAUAGGCUGUUUGUUGUUAGAGAAGAUGUUGAAGGUAUUGAGGUGUGGGAGAGCUCUCAUUCUUCUGGUGCAGUUUCAGUUUUGUGAAAGCACAAGUACGCUCUGUAAUGUCUAUAUUUUGAGUUUGUGACACAUUGUCUGAGGUUUCGUUUUCUUUAUUAGUCUUAUAGAUGAAAUGUUUAGAUAUCUCAUUUACAUUCACUAUGGCUCAACUGUAACUGAUUAAAGUUAAACCUUUUCCUUUAACUUCCUGGCAAAAGAGGAUAUACCUUGAAAGCAAGUUAGCGAGUUAGUUUGGAAAUGUUUACUGUGAGAAAUAAAUUGGAUGCUUUCAAUUAGUUCAUACUCGGAUGGCUUGAAUUUUGUUGUGUAAAGCACUUUGAUUUUCCCCAUUAUUUAUCUUGACCAACAAAGCUAGUCUUUUUGUGUGCUUGUUACUUGUUAGUAUUACCAUUACUCUUGUCUCACUGCCUACAACUUAAUUCUGCAGAAGUGAGGGGCCAGUAAAAACAUUUUGGAACAAUUGAUUCUGCAGACUCUUGGUAAGUAUAAUCAUUGUGACAAUGCAAUCACACUUUUAGGGCUGAUUGUUACUUUUCCAUGCCAUUUCAUUUGGUUAUUAUUGAAACUGUAAUCCCGUAUGACUGUGAACAAUGAAAACUAGUAGUAAAUUUAGUUUUCCAUAGGUAUUCUGUGUUUCUGACAGUUGUUAACCGGCUUUCUUACUUGCAUGAUAUGCUGUCUGGAUGGUGAAAACAUACUUUCCUAGCGCUACAGUCAUCAUUUAGUUACCAAUAGUUAUUACAAAUUGAAAGAUAAAAUACUUUCCUAGUUCCUUUUAUUUCAUGGUGCACAUAGUUUGCUAGCUGCCAUGUCAUCAAUGAUUUCGCAUAUAAAAAGGAAUUUGUCCAGUGCUUCUGUUUAUUAGUUUGGAUUUAACUGUUUAGUGCUCAAGUUUUUUGUAUACAUUUUGUUAUCUGUAGUUGACAAAUUGAAAGAAUUCGCCUUGGUGGCUUCUCACAGCAGAGAACAAAACUUUUGGCUUGCAGGUAAGAAUUUUUUGUCAAUGGAAAUACUGUUAGCACUUUGUAAGGGGCUACAAGCACCUGUAGUUUAUAUGAGAGAGAGUGCAAGGGUGAGAAACAGAUAAUCCUAUUCUACUUGGGAUCAGGUCCUCUGUCAUGUGAUUUUCAUGUGAUGAAUGCAUCAAUAAGAUUUUUGGAGCACAAGGUGAAAAUGUGCUUGUUUGGGCAACUUGAGCAGGGGUUAGGGUUAAACACCUGGAUUGUUUGUGCUUGUCCUACAAACUUUGUGCUUGUCAUGCUGUUUGGAAAAACAAGAUCAAGGAAGAUAGCUGCACAGCCUGCACCAGGUACAUAUGUUAUUUCUUCUUUGUGGGUACUCUGGAAGUCUGGCAAUAUGUGGCCAAUACAUAUGGUUUGAGACAUUUCCCUGACAUUGUCCUCGUGUGUUUUUCUGCUCAAACGUCUUCUCCUUGAGCCAUAUAUAGAAUUGGGUGAUAUCAACCUUUUCUACUAUUUUCAAAAUCGGCUUUGAACCUCAACAAGUAGCUACAUGAUUAGUCCACGAUUGGUUUAUUAAGAGCAAGAAUUUUUGGAGAUAGUGAAAGAGGAGGCAAGCCGAGUGGCUUCCAACUUCCAUGACACCAUAAAGAGGAGUUAAUGGAUUAUCACUAUUAUUCGACGCCGUCAGCGUGGCUGUGUCUAUUAUAUUUGUUCACAUUGGUGGAUGAUUCUGGAGUCAUGCUAGGACUCGAAGUAUCAGCUGAUACUUCAACCUUUUCGCGCUGUAUGCAGAUGUUGAUGUGGAUUGUCACGCUUUCAUUUGGGAUGAAUAUGGUAGAGCUUUCUGAUAACUGAAGUGCAAUGCUUUCGUUCUACUUUUAAGAGUAUUACUGGACCUUGGCUGCAGUUUCUACAGCCAAUCUUAUUUCCUGUAUUGUAGUUGUAUUUUGGUAUGCUUCUAAGUUGAGGUCAGGCGAAAAGCAACAAACGCCAGAGGAGUACGACGAAAACCCCGUCAAGUUCAUCUAGAUUAUGCAUAUGAUAAGUAAUUGUAUACAAAAGUCAUGCUACUAUGCCUUAACUACGAGUGGAUCAAGCACAGGUCCAUCCAUUUAGAAAUGUUGUUCUUUAUUCUCUGGGUCGAAGAAUAAGUGGUACUAUGUGACAAUUGGAAAAAAAAGGACAAGAUAGAGAUUCACAACAUUCAUGAAAACCAAGACAAGAAAAAACCAGUAACCGCAGAAACAUCCCCGCACUUUGUAAGAGUGAAACUGCUUGUGGAUGUCUGAUUAAGAGUACUAUUUCUAGUACUCAAAGGAAGUUUCAGCUUGCAGUGGAUAUUUUCUGGGCCAUAGUUGUGAAACUUGAUCGUGCCCAACCUGAGUUUCACCCGAAGAGCGAGCACCGUAUCAAUACUAUAAAUUCCGGCAGCGGUCUCCUUGUUGAACUCGGAAAUCUCCUUUUCCCCAAACUUCACCACCUGCUGCCCUUGAACGACUAUGUCACGCAAAAAGGUGGUGUUCUUGUGGCCUUGGUAAAACGGUACUGUCGUAUUAGGCAGAGUCACCAUGGCAAACCGCUUCUUUUGGUAGUUACCGAUGACUCGGAUGCGCCGGUAGCUGAUGCCGAGCUUUUUGUUUGGGUUUCUGAUGGUGAGGUUGAAGGCAAGGUUGUAGUACAGGGUGCUGUUGGUGGCGGUGUUGGUGAAAUUGAACUGUGUGAGACGGGCAUCUGUGAUUGUGAUCUUAGGGUUUCGGGGAAGGACGAUGACCCAGAUGAAAAAGAUGAAUAUGCCUGAGAAGAACAGCGAACCACAGCCGUGACAGACGCAGGAACGUUUGGCCUCAGCCAUUUCUAGAUGGUCACUUGUAGAAGGAGAAGAAAGUAGCUAUAGAGCUUAAAGAGGAACUUUACAAAUACUUGGUUUGUAUCAGUUUCUGAAGACUUGCAGGAAAACUUAUGUUAUAGCUAACAAGUUUCAAUAUGAUAUAGGACGUCCAUUGACUUGAGAAAAUAAUUCAAGUCAAUUGUAAAUAAACAAGCCAAUCCAACCUGGACUGGGACAUGUUACCUAGAUCUUCACAUGCGUUCACAUCGACCUUGAUUAUAUUUAGAAGAGGGAGCUAGUUGCAAUUCCUUUUUGAAAUUGUCCUCUUGUAAUGUAACAUGUUAAAUUGACCCUUGGUUAUAUUUAGAAGAACAACAUUGUCCUUCGUGAUGUUAAAUCAUUUGAUAUAAUUUACAAACAAUGAUCUUCACACUAAAUUUACACACAGACUAGUAAAAUCUUCAAAUGACAAUGUUGAAGCAUAUUGCAUCAGUUGAAGUUGUGAACAAGACACUAUUUCGUGAACUAGUUAUUUGGGGCAGAAUUACUUUACACCAACAAUUGUGCAUAGUUGCAUGCAACUAGUUUGUAUCUGCAAGUCAAUUGCUUGACAGAGCAAUUGUGGGAGAGGCAGAGUCAAGGGAUCAACUACUCAAGUUGUGGUAGUAUAUACAUUUGAGAAUAAGUCCCAAUAUACAGCCGCACAAGUGAUUUACGAAACAAUCAUCCAUGACACAAUAAUCGCACAUCUUGAUCCGAUGGAUCGCGAUCUCUCUCUUUCAAUCUCGCAGAAUAUGAAUGAUGUCUCUCUCUCUAACUGCAUGUACAUGCGUCAAUCAAUGUGCCGAUACAUCAAGUAAACUUAGUUCCAAACAAUGAUAGACUAGUUUGAUCAACGAAGAGGCUAGGUAGUCUCAAAUAGUCCUAUAUAUCAAUGCAUGAAGUUAGCUGUCUCUGAAUCAUACUAGUAUAUUCAUGUACCGGAGACGAAUCUCUACCUUGUAUAUCAAGUUUAGUAAAUCUCAGAACACAUCCUUCAAAAUUACAUGCAAGUAAACUGGGAUUUCAUUAAGAGUUUCACGUUCACACCCUAAUACACUGAAUUACAUCCUCAUUAUUGCAUUUGUAAGACCAUUAUUAAGGGAAGCUAGGGUCGUCGGAAUUAUUAUUACAUGACAAUCGGAAAUUGAUCAUACUCAGUGAUCAACACUAGACAGGGAAAUACACAGACAUAUAGAGACAUUUCAUUUUUUGCAACAGAUAUGGAGAUCAAUCAACCAAUAUGCCAACAUAUAUUGGUUCACCUAGCAUUACUCUUUCUCUUAGUUACGCAACAAGCUUUGAUUCAUAGUGUCGACGUCACCUAAGAGGCCGCAGCAGCCGCAGCAGCAGCAACAAGUCAGAAUAGAAACACUGCAGAAAAAGCCACAAUUAUAUAUCUCUGUGUUAAUAUAUCUAUCUACAUAUAGCAAGUAACCAGCUUAGAUCGAAUAGCUUUGUUUUCGUUCUAUAUACAUACAAACAACACAAUUCAGUUUUGAAAUUUGCUGCUUUCAUUUUGUAUGCAGUAUAUGAUCGAUCAAACUGUUUUUUACAAACUCACCAGGUAACGAUAAGGGCCCAUACAGUACCAAAGACGAAAUCUAUGAUACAACCGCACAUCUUUCUCUUUCAAUUCUAUCGCACAGAAAAUGUAUGCAAAUAUGAAACAAUGGAUACAAAUAAGUCCUACCCUCCUCUAUAUAUUUAUACUCAAAUAAGGUUGUUCUCAUCUACUUGUGCAGGUAUAGAAAAACG
rnacentral:lncRNA from 1 species